ensembl:lncRNA
CCUUUACAUAGUUUCCCGUCCUGGCUGAUCUCAUAGCCGUUCUUGCAGUAACACACAGGACCGGAGUGUGUGACGGCGCAGUUUUCCUGACAGCCAGCGAGCGUACAGUUCGAGAUCAAUUCUGAGAAAAAAUUACAGAUUGAAAAGAUGAAGUCCUUAACUGUAGGUCCAGAGAAGUUUUGUUCAUGGUAAUAGAACAGACAUUAUAACAUGAAAGGGAAACCUUUAAGACAUAUGCUAUCAUUUUGUUUUAUAUAAGACAAUGCUGGGGAGGAGACGGCAUCAGGAUGCACUAUGGGAAGAAGGCGAGUUGGUGGAUGCAGUGUAAUGCUCUGUGCAAUGUUCUGCUGGGAAACCUUGGGUCCUGCUUUCAUGUGGAUGUUACUUUGACACAUACCACCUACCUAAACAUUGUUCCAGACUGAGUACACCCCUUCAUGGUAACGGUGUUCCCUAAUAUCAGUGACCUCUUUCAGCAGGAUAAUGCCCCCUGACACACUGCAAACACUGUUCAGGAACGGUUUGAGGAACAUGAGAAAGAAUUCCCCAGAUCUCAGUCUGAUCAAGCGUCUGUGGGACGUUCUGGACAAACAAGUCAGAUCCACGGAGGUCCACCUCACAACUUACAGAACUUAAAGGAUCUGGUGCUAACGUCUAGGUGCCAGAUACCACAGCACACCUUCAGAGGUCUUGUGGAGUCCAUGCCUCUACACCUCAGAGCUGUUCUGGUGGCACAAGGAGAGGAGGACCUACACAAUAUUAGGCAGGUGGAUUUAAUGUUAUGGCUGAUCGGUGUAUAAUAUGGGUGUUGAAAGAAUAAAGCUGUGGAAUUAUAACGGCUGUUCAAUCUAAAGAAAGGGAACGGUGCUAAAAAAGGAAAAUGAGCAGAGCGAGGUUAAUCUCACUGUAAUGCAGGAUCACAUGCAGAGUUAUAAAAAAAACAAAACAAAACAAAACACCAAGCUUUGUCUCGGCUCACGGAAACCUGUUUAUGAAGGUCUCGGCACUGAAAAUCUCCGGAAUAAGAAGAGUCACAUGACUAACGGAACAUGACCCGUGUGCCACUCAGGUCAACAAGCAAGAAAAAACAAAAGGAAGCAGAAUCUCUAAAUCAAUUUUAAAUCAAUUCUAAAUGCACAGUGUGUAUAUACAGUUCAUGCAAAGGAACGCUGUAGAGCAAAGACGCCUCCAGAAAUAAUGAAAUGAAAUGUUUCUACGUUACAGAGGUACGAUAAAUAGGAGUCAACGGUACUAAAGUAAACAACCUGAAAAUUUGGUGUGACGACUCUUUGCUUUUUGAAAGCAACAUCUGUAUCCUCAGGUACAGUGUGUGCAGCUUAAUAAGGAAAUGAGCUGCACAUGUUACUGAGCAUCCUCAGACACGGUUCUUCUGGAGACCCUGACUGUCGCACUUGCUUUUUAUUCCUGCAGCGAAACCCAACACCUUCAUCGUGUUUCCAUUCACUGUGUUUACUCUUCACUGUGUUUACUCUUCACUGUGUUUACUCUUCACUGUGUUUACUCAGGGUUUACUCUUCACUGUGUUUACUCUUCACUGUGUUUACUCUUCACUGUGUUUACUCUUCACUGUGUUUACUCAGGGUUUACUCUUCACUGUGUUUACUCUUCACUGUGUUUACUCUUCACUGUGUUUACUCAGGGUUUACUCUUCACUGUGUUUACUCUUCACUGUGUUUACUCUUCACUGUGUUUACUCAGGGUUUACUUCACUGUGUUUACUCUUCACUGUGUUUACUCUUCACUGUGUU